rnacentral:rRNA from 1 species
CUACGGGGGGCAGCAGUGAGGAAUAUUGCACAAUGGGGGGAACCCUGAUGCAGCAACGCCGCGUGGAGGAUGACGCAUUUCGGUGUGUAAACUCCUUUUAUAUGUCAAGAAAAUGACGGUAGCAUAUGAAUAAGCACCGGCUAACUCCGUGCCAGCAGCCGCAGGUAAUACGGAGGGUGCAAGCGUUACUCGGAAUCACUGGGCGUAAAGGACGCGUAGGCGGGUUGGAAAGUCAGGUGUGAAAUCCUACAGCUUAACUGUAGAACUGCACUUGAAACUUCUAAUCUAGAGUAUGGGAGGGGGAGAUGGAAUUAGUGGUGUAGGGGUAAAAUCCGUAGAUAUCACUAGGAAUACCUAAAGCGAAGGCGACCUCCUGGACCAUUACUGACGCUAAGGCGUGAAAGCGUGGGGAGCAAACAGGAUUAGAUACCCGUGUAGUC